rnacentral:rRNA from 1 species
AGGAAAGUAGGGGAUCGCAAGACCUUGCGCUUUUGGAGCGGCCGAUGUCUGAUUAGCUAGUUGGUGAGGUAAAGGCUUACCAAGGCUUCGAUCAGUAGCUGGUCUGAGAGGACGACCAGCCACACUGGGACUGAGACACGGCCCAAACUCCUACGGGAGGCAGCAGUGGGGAAUUUUGGACAAUGGGGGAAACCCUGAUCCAGCCAUGCCGCGUGAGUGAAGAAGGCCUUCGGGUUGUAAAGCUCUUUCAGCCGGAACGAAAAGGUUACGGUUAAUACCCGUGACUAAUGACGGUACCGGAAGAAGAAGCGCCGGCUAACUACGUGCCAGCAGCCGCGGUAAUACGUAGGGUGCGAGCGUUAAUCGGAAUUACUGGGCGUAAAGCGUGCGCAGGCGGUUUUGUAAGUCAGAUGUGAAAUCCCCGGGCUCAACCUGGGAACUGCGUUUGAAACUACAAAGCU